UUGGAUACAAACGCUUGGCCCGCACUGAAGCUGUAUGAUGUUUUAGUAGUUGCGCAACUUAACAGUUCACACAGAACUAUGGGAACCGGAGUGAGAAGUAGUGACAAUCUGUCCGGUUCUAAAGGUGUCAUGGCAAAAAAAGAACUUACCCAAUAAUGUUCUGUGGUGAUUCUAACCUCUACUAAAGUCGCGUUGAUUAUAUUUAUUUUUUAUUUUUCACAAAACCUGGGAAUAUUUGAUUGUCAAUAUCUCGAAAGAAAGCGCGCUGUCAGUGGUUCGGUGGACUGACUUUUCAAGCAGGAAUGGCCACUGCAAGACUCGAUUACGUUGCUCCGUGGUGGACAUACUGGCUGCACAAUUUCCCCCACUUCAAUUUAUUUUUCCAGACGGUCGACAACACUUUCAAGCCGGAGGAGGCGAGCUAUCAGCAGUCUCUGAUAUUUCUAGCAUGUGUUGGUGCAGUGGGUCUGUGUCUGAGCCUGCUGGUUGUGGCGGUAUGCCUGGUCUGCAUGUGUUGCUGCCGCAGAGACAUAGAUGAAGACACCAAACGGCCGGAUACCUGCUGUCUCACCUGGUCCGCUGUCAUCACAGGUCUCAUCAUAUGUUCGGCUGUGGGAGUGGGUUUCUAUGGUAACAGCGAGACCAACGAUGGGGUGCACCAGCUGACCUACUCGCUCUACAAUGCCAAUCACACAUUGGGUAGCAUCAACAAUCUGGUUGCAGGAUCUCUGGGUAAUGCUGAAACUGGACUCAAAACACACCUGGAACGCCUGGAUGAAAUCUUUAGCACAAGGACCGACUACCUAAAAACUCUUCGCUUCAUGCAGCUCAUGGUCAACAACGUCAUCCGUGAGAUGACUACUCUGCCGGAUAUAAACAAAGCCAAUGUUGACUUGGAGGCUAUCGCUGACCAAACAGCCUUCAUUGAGUAUUACAGAUGGCUGAUCUAUCUGCUGCUGCUGAUCCUGGAUCUGGUCAUUUGCUUGGCCAUGUGCUUGGGGAUGGCCAAGCAGUCUCGAGGGCUGCUCAUCAUGAUCAUGGCUUUUGUAGUGCUGUCUAUGAUCCUAAGCUGGGCCUCACUGGGAGCGGGCACUGCUACAGCUGUGGGCACCAGUGACUUCUGUGUGUCUCCAGACAAGUUUUUUGUUAACCAAACCAAGGAUUUCCUCAGUGCAGAUGUUGCACACUAUUAUUUGUUCUGCAGCCCGAAUCUACCAAACCCUUUCCAAAAGUCUCUGACAAUCUGCCAGCGUUCUCUGACCACCAUGCAGAUCCAGGUCCAGGGCUUGCUGCAGCUCUCUGUGCCCGUCUUUCCCACUGCUGAGAGAGACCUUUUGGGGAUCCAGCGACUGCUGAACUCUACCGAGUUCAGUCUACACCAGCUAACAGCCUUGCUCGAUUGCCGCGGGCUACAUAAGGACUACCUGGAUGCCCUAAUGGGUGUGUGCUAUGAUGGGGUGGAAGGGCUCCUCUACCUCUCCUUGUUUUCUCUGCUGGCUGCCUGCGCACUCUCUGCCAUGCUGUGCGCAAUUUUCAGAGUGUGGACACUAAUGGGCAGCAGAGACAAAGAGUAUGACGACAUAGAUGAGGAGGACCCAUUCAACCCCGAGGCACGGCGGCUGUCCUACAACCCCAGAAGGUCCAACAUCCACAGUUUUUGUAGUUAUACCAGCAGCCUCAGUAGCCAGGCCAGCCUUCAUCCAGCUCCGCAAUCUGCCUCCAAUGUCAUGCCACCUCCUGAAUACAUGAAUCAGUCCAUGCUGUUUGGAGGGAGUCCUCGAUAUGAGAACGUGCCGCUGAUAGGGAGAGGAUCCCCGCCUCCCUCGGUGCGUUGGCCCUAUGAGGCACUAGUGUCCCUAGUGUGAUGACGAUGAUGGCACUACUGACCACAACACUAACAGAAAGCAUGCAUAAAAACGCCAUGAAUGAAACAAUGCAUGCACACUGUAUAAAACCUCACACUGUCAACAGUUAGUGAGGAGAGUUUGCAAGUGAUGGAGGACUGCUCUCUGCUGGCCAUUUACUGAAGUGCAUACACUUCUAGCCCAGUGCCAUCUCUGUAUGCAGACACACACUCUCACUACUAACCUCUGAGCAUAUGCUCAUGUUUCACCAUUGCCUUGGAUUGCAGUUCUUAUUCUUACAAAGUAAUGGUUUAAUAAGACUAAGGAGACAACCAUAGGUUUUUGCGUUGAAUAAAGACAGUGCAGGUACCUAGUUUUAAUGGUAGAACUCAUAGUCUUUAAGCGUGCAGUGUGCCUCCGGAGCUGAAGUUAGAUGAUAAAUUAGGCUCGUAAAUCUCAUUUAGGUGAAGUUUUUUUUCUGUUAGGUUUUUUUGUUUGGGUGGCUGAGUCAGUGCUUAAACUGCAUUCACAGCGUACCAAAGACUUGAAAACACCUUUUGAGAGAAAGAGAGGGAGAGAAUGUGGAAUGGACCAUUGAUUGAAAUGUUAGUGUACCUCUGUGAGACACAUGUUUAACAGAUACUGCCAUGUUUUGUUUUGUGUAAAAGAGGAUUUUUUGUAUCAGCUCCGCAAUGCAUUUUACUCAUGCUGUUAUUUAAGCUGUCUCUCAAAAUGUUAUCUAACUGCUGAAUAUUGACCAGUGUUUUGUAACUAACCCUUUUUAUUAUUUUCAUUUUUUCACUCAGACUUUUAAAAACCGUAAGUUUUUAUCGUUGUCUAACUCCUUCCCUGGUUUGUUUUGAUUUCAUUUUCAUUCCACUCCUUGAAACUGUGGGCUUACCUCUGUGGUGCUGCUUGCUGUGCAGAAUGUUUUAACCUAUAACCCCAACACCCUCUUAACACUCCAUACAGUACGUCAGCUGUGUGACCUUCCGGUACUGUUUUAUCCACAGAGUGUUUUAUUACUCGCCCAGUAUGAGGACCACCUAUC